rfam:Triticum aestivum genome assembly, contig: Triticum_aestivum_CS42_TGACv1_scaffold_592073_7BS
CAUGUACUCCCUCCGUCCCAAAUUUUCUGUCUUAGAUUGUUUAAGAUACGGAUGUAUCUAACACUAAAAGACUUGAUACAUUCAUAUCUAGAUAAUAUACAUCCAUAUCUACAUAAAUGUAAGACAAGAAUUUUGGGACGGAGGAAGUAUAUG